rnacentral:lncRNA from 1 species
CAGUCUCAAGAGGAAGAAAGGAGGGAAGGCAGGGCCAUCUAAGUGGGUGGGAGCCCCUCCCCAUGGCACAAGGGCACCAGGUCCCCAGGAGGGAAGAGGAUGGGGCCCCUGAAAGGGGAAGGGUGGAGCAGCAGCGGCCAGCUGUUUGCAUCACCAUUUGCUGAGCACUGCCCCUUGUUUUACUUCUUGGAAACAGCUUGUCCCAUGCUGUUGGUUGGUCAGGGAAAGUGAACAGAUUUGUCUAGAGUUGCUUAAGUGCUCAUUGGAUCUGUCUACUUCUCCAUCCUGGGGAAGGAGACAAAGCGGAAAGAAGACUUCUAAGUAAUUCCAGUAAGCUGUGCCUCCAGCCAGAGCCUAGCCCAGAGCCAGCAUACUUCAAAGGCAACACGAUGGACUGUCAGCUGCAGCGUGUCUCUUGGUCCAAGAGGCCGGUGAAAGAUGGAAGGACGUGGUAUUUGCUGGAAAUGAAAACACGGGGAGCUGCUGGAACCGAUUCCAGAAUGUUCUUUUCGUUCUUUGCACAAGGUGAUGGUGUACCCUUCAAGUUCUAUGUAAGAACAGCCCAUGGAAAACAUGUUGCCCCCACUGGAGACGAGCAGUCCCAGCGAGAGUUAACCCAGAAGCACUUAAUGUGCCUGAGUAAAUAGUCCGGGGAAGGAUCAGACCGUGUUAGGCUGAUGAGACUGAUUAAGUUUUCCCAAAGAUUCUUUGUGCUGUGUGAUUAACAGUUACUUUUCUUCAAAGGCAAUUGGGUAAACGGUGUUGGUUUUAGGACUUGGAACUCUCAUUCAGACAGCCUUGCAACAAGCCAGCAUGAAACAUGGUUUUAUCUUUCCUGCUCCGUUAGAUUGAGAAGGAAACCCUGAUAUUACACACACACAGUGCUUUCUUCUUGAUGUUCUUCAAGUCAAAAGCAGGAGAUCAAACACCACUGGCACGCUGAAUAAGUGCUUCAUAGAAUAACUUGUCCACAAGGGAGAUAACUCCCGCUGCCCACUGGAUUGUGUAAGAAAUGAAAAGCAAAGGAGGGUUUUUCCCAGCACGAAGGUGGCUCACAACACAUCUCUGUCAGUGGUUUCAGUUGCUCUCCGCUUCUUGCUCAGCCAUAAUAAUAAAGACAGG